UCCAAUCGAACUCGGAGAUAGCUGGUUCUCCUCGAAAUAGCUUUAGGGCUAGCCUCGAGCUGGAGUCUAACGGAGGUAAAGCACUGAACUGACGCGGGGCCCAAAAAGGUUACCAACUCAUAUCAAACUAAGAAUGCCGUCAAGAUACCCUCGGGAGUCAGUCUGCGUGAGAUAAGUCGCGUGGACAAAAGGGAAAGAGCCCAGACCGACAGCUAAGGUCCCAAAGUACGUGUUAAGUGGAAAAGGAUGUGGGAUUUCAUAGACAACUAGGAUGUUGGCUUAGAAGCAGCCAUACAUUUAAAGAGUGCGUAAUAGCUCACUAGUCGAGAAAACCUGCGCCGAAAAUGUAACGGGGCUAAAACACGACACCGAAGCUACGGAUUUCCUACAAGGUAGGAAGUGGUAGAGGAGCAUCCUGCAAGGACGAAGCCAAAGUGAGAGCGAUGGUGGACGAAACAGGAGAGAGAAUGCCGGAAUGAGUAGCGAGAUACAUGUGAGAAACAUGUAGGCCGAAUAUCUAAGGAUUCCUGGGUAAAGCUAAUCUUCCCAGGGUUAGUCGGGGCCUAAGGCGAGGACGAAAGUCGUAGUCGAUGGAUAACAGGUUGAUAUUCCUGUACUACACAUAAUCAGAACUGUGGGGACGCAGGAGGAUAGGGAAACCGGGGAAUGGAAAGACCCGGUCAAGCGUAAAGCUGUGGGAGAUAGGCAAAUCCGUCUCCUGUAAGUGAAACGUGAUGAGGACUGAAAAAAAGUAAGGAAGUUUCCGAAUCCACACUGCCGAGAAAAGCCGCUAUUGCGUUAUGUGUACCCGUACCGUAAACCGACACAGGUAGAUGAGGAGAAAAUCCACAGGCCGACGGGAGAAGUGUUGUUAAGGAACUCGGCAAAAUGACCCCGUAACUUCGGGAUAAGGGGAGCCUCGCAAGAGGCCGCAGAAAAGAGGCACAAGCAACUGUUUAGCAAAAACAUAGGUCUAUGCGAAACCGUAAGGUGAAGUAUAUGGGCUGACGCCUGCCCGGUGCUGGAAGGUUAAAAGGAGAGGUCAGCGCAAGCGAAGCUUUGAAUUCAAGCCCCAGUAAACGGCGGCCGUAACUAUAACGGUCCUAAGGUAGCGAAAUUCCUUGUCAGGUAAGUUCUGACCCGCACGAAAGGCGUAAUGAUUUGUGCACUGUCUCGACAACACGCCCGGUGAAAUUGAAGAACCAGUGAAGAUACUGGUUACCCGCAACAGGACGGAAAGACCCCAUGGAGCUUUACUGCAGCCUGAUACUGGGAUUCGAUGAUAUAUGUACAGGAUAGGUGGGAGGCUAAGAAGCGAGAACGCUAGUUUUCGUGGAGCCGCCGGUGGGAUACCACUCUUAUGUCAUUGAAUUUCUAACCUGCAUCCGUAAUCCGGGUGAGGGACAAUGUCAGGCGGGCAGUUUGACUGGGGCGGUCGCCUCCUAAAAGGUAACGGAGGCGCUCGAAGGUCACCUCAGAAUGAUUGGAAACCAUUCAAAGAGUGUAAAGGCAAAAGGUGGCUUGACUGCGAGAGCGACGGCUCGAGCAGGUACGAAAGUAGGACUUAGUGAUCCGGUGGUAAUAAGUGGGAAUGCCAUCGCUCAACGGAUAAAAGCUACCCUGGGGAUAACAGGCUU
rnacentral:rRNA from 1 species